rnacentral:rRNA from 1 species
UACGUAGGGUCCAAGCGUUAUCCGGAAUCACUGGGCGUAAAGCGUGCGUAGGUGGUAAUUCACGUGCAAUGCGAAAUCGUGUGGCUCAACCAUACGACGGUAGUGCAUACGGGAUUACUAGAGGACAUGAGAGGCAAGUGGAAUUACUGGUGUAGCAGUGAAAUGCGUAGAUAUCAGUAGGAACACCAAUGGCGAAGGCAGCUUGCUGGCAUGUAUCUGACGCUAAGGCACGAAAGCGUGGGGAGCGAACAGG